CGAAUCCCAGAAAUGAAAGAUGGUGAAGAUGGUAUUCAACCAUGAAUUUCUGGAAUGCUUCCUGCAAGCCUGCCUUUCAUCAGAGCAGAUAGUUGAUGGAGUGGCUUUGUAUUUCCAAAAGGAGACCAAUGUCGGAAGGCGGAAGUAGAGAUUUUCUGCAGGAGCUUUUUAAACCUUUUGGAUCUCAGCUACGUAAACACAGCACUAAAUUUAACAUAUUGGUGGAUUCACAAAAGGUGUUCAACAAAUAAAAAAUGAAUAAGUACAUGCAUGUAUACAUGAAUGAACACACAUUACGGAAUUAUCCUACUCAAAGUGGCAGGACUGGGACAUUCAUCUUGGGAGAGAUUUGGCUCAGCAACCCAGGAGGGAUCACAUUGGAUCACCCUUAUUUGAACACAAUCUGAGAUCUAUUGUUGGCUUUCUUCACAGGAAAGCAGGUAGAAUCCAGUGUGAGCAGGAAAGGCAGGCAUGAAAACAGGUCACUGCCAUUUAAUGUAGCAUAGGACUAGGAACCAAAUAAUC